rnacentral:rRNA from 1 species
UACGGAGGGUGCAAGCGUUAUCCGGAUUUACUGGGUUUAAAGGGUGCGUAGGUGGGUAAGUAAGUCAGUGGUGAAAUCUCCGGGCUUAACCCGGAAACUGCCAUUGAUACUAUUGGUCUUGAAUGUUGUUGAGGUGGGCGGAACGGGUCAUGUAGCGGUGAAAUGCAUAGAUAUGACCCGGAACACCGAUUGCGAAGGCAGCCCACUAAGCAACGAUUGACGCUGAGGCACGAAAGCGUGGGGAUCAAACAGG